rnacentral:rRNA from 1 species
UUUAUUGGAGAGUUUGAUCCUGGCUCAGGAUGAACGCUGGCGGCGUGCCUAAUACAUGCAAGUCGAGCGAAUGGAUUAAGAGCUUGCUCUUAUGAAGUUAGCGGCGGACGGGUGAGUAACACGUGGGUAACCUGCCCAUAAGACUGGGAUAACUCCGGGAAACCGGGGCUAAUACCGGAUAACAUUUUGAACUGCAUGGCUCGACACUGAAAGGCGGCUUCGGCUGUCACUUAUGGAUGGACCCGCGUCGCAUUA